GGACGAACGCUGGCGGCGUGCCUAAUACAUGCAAGUCGAGCGGACGGAUGGGAGCUUGCUCCCAGACCGUCAGCGGCGGACGGGUGAGUAACACGUGGGCAACCUGCCUGUAAGACUGGGAUAACUCCGGGAAACCGGGGCUAAUACCGGAUAACUCUUUCCCUCACAUGAGGGAAAGCUGAAAGAUGGCAUCUCGCUAUCACUUACAGAUGGGCCCGCGGCGCAUUAGCUAGUUGGUGAGGUAACGGCUCACCAAGGCGACGAUGCGUAGCCGACCUGAGAGGGUGAUCGGCCACACUGGGACUGAGACACGGCCCAGACUCCUAAGGGAGGCAGCAGUAGGGAAUCUUACGCAAUGGACGAAAGUCUGACGGAGCAACGCCGCGUGAGUGAUGAAGGUUUUCGGAUCGUAAAACUCUGUUGUCAGGGAAGAACAAGUACCGGAGUAACUGCCGGUACCUUGACGGUACCUGACCAGAAAGCCACGGCUAACUACGUG
rnacentral:rRNA from 1 species